GUGAAUCAUCAAAUCUUUGAACGCAAAUUGCACUCUCUUCGGAGAGUAUGCCUGUUUGAGGGUCAGCCUAAAAAAAAUCGACAUCGUUGCUGUUUCGCGGCGGCGUUCGGCGGAAAUUGUGUUAUCUUAAAUUUUUGGUUUAAGCGACUUAAAAUUUUCUUUACGAUUCCAUGAACGUGUCCAAGAUUUAUUUCUUUACUUGUUUAAGGUAUCUACUUAAUUAGCCG
rnacentral:misc_RNA from 1 species